rnacentral:lncRNA from 1 species
ACUUGAACAUGGUUGGCAGACAUGUUAUCAGCCUGUAGUUUCCAGGUAUUGCCCCUUUUGCUGCAUCUUUCUGUAUUAAGUAGGUUUUACCAGUUGUUAGCCAUUUGCUGAUGAUUCCUAUGUGCAACAUUUCGUUGAACAAUUCAGCCAUUUUUGCCUGCAGGCUGGUCAAGUAUUUGAGCCAGAAGCCAUGCAGUUGAUCAUUGCCAGAGGAUGUCCAGUUCUUGACUUUUUUCACUUUUUUUGUGAUCAUUUCAGGUGUUAUUUCCAACUGUUGCAUUUUACUCUUAGAGAAUUUCUUCUCAAAAUCUUUUAUCCAUCCAGCAGUUUUGUUGUAGUCCUCUUUAGUUUCUCAGAGAUCUUUCCAGAACUUGGUGGUUGCUUUUUUCUCUGGUUUUUCAAUUUUUGCAUUUGCUUGCUGAAUCAGACUCUGAUAGAACUGCCUCUGAUUGGAUUGGAUUGAAACAUUUGAUUUUGUUCAUACUGGAUGAUUCUGAUUUCAUAUCUUUCAAUUUUCUGGCUGUUGCUGUUAUCUGCUGUUUCACAAUUUCUAAAGCUUCUUCAAUUUUUCUCGUAUUUAGCCAGUAUUUUUUGAUCAGGUAUUCUUUGAUUUUCUGGUUAUUCAGCUUUUGUUCCUUCAUGUUCAGGUUGCUUGCAUCUGAUCUCAAGUUUUUGAUUUUCAGUUCCAGUCGAAUUUUCCAUUUUGGUUUCCCAGUUGAUUUUCUGAUAGGCUUUGCAGUAAUCCCAAUUUUUCAGUUACUGUUACUGCUGUGCUAUAGGCAAGCUGGUUCAUUUCUUCUAUUGAUGUUAUCUGGAGAGUUGCAAGGACAGCAUUGAUGUCCUUCAUCAGUGUUGCUAAUUGCUUCCUUGGCACAGUUUUUAAGGAUGGCAACCAUUUUCUUUGUGCAUUUGAUGCAACAUGAGCCAGUAUUUUGUCCUUUAGUUCUUGUUGUUGUUGAGUCAGUGUGUCAGGUGUUUCAUUAAGGACUUCACAUUCUUGUUCUUCUAGUUCUGGCAGUAUUCCCAAAUUUUCAUUAUCAGGUUCAGGUUGUUCAGUGAAUCCAGAUGUUGUUGGAGCUUCAGUUUCUGCUAUUGCAGUAGGCUGUUGUGCUUCAGUUUCACAAGUUUUUCCAGAUUUUUUCAAAUUCAACUUCACUGAACAUUUUGUUUUUAUGAUGAAUUGCCUCUUAUCUGUCAGAUGCAGUUCUGUUGUUUUCAAGUCUGGAUAUUCCAGUUUCCACAGUUGGUAUAUCCUUUUUUGGUAGCCAUGUUUUUUGGGAUCUGAUGCAUAGUAGCAUUUCAUGAUUGAGUGAUUCUCUGACUUUGAGUAUUUCUGCUGUUUCUGUGUUUGUGCAUUUUGUUCCUGUAGCCCAGUUGUCAAUGUCUACCUAGGUUCCUCAACAUUGCCGCAGCCCUUUUUAUCCUGAGUAAUGACUGAGCCAGUAUAGACUUCUUUUUAGUUUGUUUCUCCAUUGGUUCAAAUGGGUUGGGUACACAGAGAAGUCCCGCUCCUCAGCAUUGACUUCUCUGUCAUGGAUAAAUCUGCCAGUAGUUUGCAUUACUACUGGCACAGCUCUCAGCUUCACUGGAGUACUCAAGCCCCAAUGCUGCAACAAGACCACACCUGUUGGGG